UCACUGUGGCAUCAUCUUGCUUCUUUCAGCACACCAAAACAGAGAUCUGACCUUUCUCGAGGUAGGGUAUACUGCAUAACAUGGAACAAAACAUCUCAAUGUACAUUUUAAGUAGAAAUGAACAUGAAUAAUACAUGUGUAUCUUCAUUUAACCUUUGUACAGAUGGCCAGGCUGUGGAUGACUGUGUUUCUGGUAUUACUGCUGGCUCAAGGAUAUGUGGCUGUUGUGGACACAACAACGCUCGCAAAUCUUAUACAAAGAUUAAGGCAGAGGUACAGUGUAUCUGGGAUGUUCAGUCUGGCUGUGAGUCUUAAAGGAGGGAACCUAGCUCACCUGGAGGAAAUCUUCCAGCAAAACCCCCCAGAUAAAGUAGAGGGGGAAAUUUUAAAGGGUCGUGUGUACAGAGGCUUCAGACUAGCUUUAGCCAAAGUUGGGCAACCUGAACAUGCUGAGCUGCGAGUUUUGAAAGACCUAAACCUUGACAGUAUUAAAGGUGAUAUGUUGGUCAUUUAUUCUUAUGCUUCCCCCUGUCCCACAACUUGUACAAAUAUUUGCAAUCGUUACAAUAUCAUCAACCCGAUUAACAAUCUUAUUAACAUUGGACAAUGGAGUACAUAUGCCUUUGUGUUUGAAAAAGUCUUCAAUCCCAGAGACUGUAAAAAAGGCCUGAAAGAGAGUGAAUUAAAAAGGGCACUGACAGAUCUGGCUGACGGAUCUCAAAUCAAGCUUCCAGACAUAUUCCGCUGUUACAAAUCAAACAACAAAGCUUUUACAUGUAUCAGCUGCUCCAGUGCUGGCAAAGUUACACCACAGUGUGUUGACUAUAAUGUAUACUAAACUGAUACAGUCAGGCCUGUCUAUUGCACCAGAAUAAUCUCACAUUCUUAGCUCUCUAUUAUAAAACUUAAAUUAAUGGUGCAGCCGCUAACCAGCAUAUAAUCUCACACAUUCACCACCAUGUAACACUCCUGGUGCACGCAAUGUAAUGACUGUGUUGAUUUGCAUGCUUGCUUUAACCUGCCAGUGGAUUCUCUGUAUAAUUUUUAUUUAUGUUUCUUUAACUUCAGAUGACAUGUCUGAUGAUUGAUGAUUAUUUUGUAUGACUUCUCUUAAACUAAAUUAAAGGUAAAAUAAAGAUAUAAUGAGUUCUUUAAACA
rnacentral:lncRNA from 1 species